rnacentral:lncRNA from 1 species
GCAUGUGGACGUUCCCAGGCCAGGGAUCGAAUCCGAGCCAGAGCUGUGACCUCCGCCACAGCGGCAGCAAUGCUGGAUCCGCACCCGCUUCGCUUGGGCCGGGGAGCAGACUUUUGCCUCCACAGAGACAAGUUGGAUCCCUAAGCCGCUGGGCCACAGCGGGAGUUCCCUGAUGUGACUUUAGCGUCUAACGGUCAGGAUGUGUUCUUCUCUUUAAUCGGGGCAUCGCAGACCCGGCCAGGAAGACGGGGAGGAGCAGGGACUCUUCCUGCCAUUUUCCCGGCGCUGCUGUCCUCCUCCUGCACAAUGAGCUUUCUGUGAAGAACUUUCGUCUGCAGAAAGCAAGGGCUUUGCUCAGCUGGAAGACAAACGCGUCCUCAUUCGGCAAAGGAUCGGCUGCCUGCUGUGUGCUGGGCAGGGUUACAGCCAAGACAAAACACAGAAACCUCUUAACACUUUCAUAGUCAGACGGUCGGGACUUGAAGCACCAUCCUGUGAAGACGGAACUGCGUAGACUAUGCCGGAAGCUUCGGUGGGCAGCCACCCGCCGUAAGUGACAUGACGCCCGUCUGCAGCCGCUCUCCGGGGGUAUGCGAAGGAGCCCCAGACCUACCUUCAGGGAGGCUCUGCUCCUGGCCAUCCCCAGAAAGGAGCCCUGGAGAUGCAGCUGGUGACAAUCCUUGGGCCAGCAGCCCUUGGGCAGGUUCCAGUGCGCUAACCUACUCGUUUUCCAGGAUGGCAAAUUCAGACCCUUUACCAACACUGAAGGCCGUAAAAACUUUACAUUCAAAGCACAUUCCCCCAAUCGUCCCUUGGUAUUUAAAGAUGUCUCAGCUGGAGAGGUCCCCCAAGGGGACCUGCCCCUCUGUUUGUGCUGGUUUGUUUUUAGGGCUCCACUGGUGCCAUGUGGAAGUUCCUGGCCCAGGAGUUGGACUGGAGCUGCAGCUGCCAGCCUUCGCCACAGCCACAGCCACGCUGGAUCCAAGUCGCGGCAUCUGCAGACAACACCACAGCUCACAAUCUGGAUCCGGCAUUGCCGUGGCUGUGGUGCAGGCCGGCAGCUGUAGCUCCGAUUGGACCCCUAGCCUGGGAACCUCCAUGUGCUGACACUGCGGCCCUAAAGAAGACAGACGGAAAGACAAAUAAAUAAGUAAUAAAUGAAAUAAAAGGCAUUGAGAGGCCGGGAGGAGAGACGUCCCGUGAGCGGCGUGGAAGUGCGCUGGUUGGAUGUCGGCCACCGCAUCCAGCCGCCCCCGCCAAGGCUUCAGUUAGUCCCUUCCGCCCACGGAGGUGGUUGUAAGUGUAGUCUAUGGGAUUUGUUCUGUUUUGCUGAUUCUCUUUACAGAACUGUUACCCCGCAGAAGAUCGCCUUGGGGCCCAAGUUCAGGCCGGAUGAAAGCUAAAGCAGCAGCAAUGGAAACAGCGAACUCAGACGGCAGGCUUGUAUUUGACCUGUCUUGUUUUUUUGUUUUCUUCUUUUUGCAGGGCCACACCCACGGCAUAUGGAGGUUCCGGACUAGGGGUCAAACCUGAGCUAGAGCUGCCAGCCUACACCACAGCCACACCCAUGUGGGAUCUGAGCUGUGUCUGCGACCUACACCACAGCUCACGGCAGCUCCGUGGCCAGGGAGUGAAGCCACAGCCUCGUGGAUGCACAUAGUCGGACUCGUUUCCGCUGAGCCACAGCAGGAACUCCUGGGCUUUGUUUUUCUCAUUUUGUGGCCUCACCUGCCGCACGUGGAAGUUCCCAGGCCAGGGAUUGAUCCAAGCUGCGGCUGUGGCAACACCAGAUCUGUGCUGCUCUGGGGAUUGAACACACACCUCUGCAGUGACCCAAGUUGCUGCAAUCAGGUUCUUAGUUGAUUGUGUCACAGCGGGAACUCCUUGAGGCAAGUGUUUGAAGCCAAGGACUCUCCAGUCUGCAAGUCAUCUCCAAGCGAGAACCUAAUCAACUCUUGCGCCCCCUGCAACCAGCACUGCCUGGGGUUCCGAAAACCGGGGUGCGGAGGGAAGCUGGUGAGUGCCCUGCAAGAAGAGCCUGGUGCCCAGCCACCUCUGCUGGGCACCUGUUUCCAAGACCCAUGGGGGGAGGAGCUUAGGUGAGCCCUGGCCCAGAUUCUCUGCAGAAGGGGCACCACUUCCCCUGGCAGAUCAACUCUGUCAAUCACAGUGGAAAGGAGGCGGUGACGUGCCCCCCCCUUAGACCUGACCCUGGGGGCCCCUGCCCCCUGUCCCAGCGGGAAGCUGGUCGGAGAGUUCAGUCUUCAGCUCACACAGCAGGCCGAUGCUGUGCUCGGCAGCCUGGUCCCCCUGGGGCCGUGGGUCAAGCAAAGCGGCCAGCUGGUGGGCCAGCCGGAAGCUGCCCA